UAGGGAAUCUUCGGCAAUGGACGGAAGUCUGACCGAGCAACGCCGCGUGAGUGAAGAAGGUUUUCGGAUCGUAAAGCCCUGUUGUUAGAGAAGAACGUUGGUAGGAGCGGAAAAUCUACCAAGUGACGGUAACUAACCAGAAAGGGACGGCUAACUACGUGCCAGCAGCCGCGGUAAUACGUAGGUCCCGAGCGUUGUCCGGAUUUAUUGGGCGUAAAGCGAGCGCAGGCGGUUCUUUAAGUCUGAAGUUAAAGGCAGUGGCUUAACCAUUGUACGCUUUGGAAACUGGAGGACUUGAGUGCAGAAGGGGAGAGUGGAAUUCCAUGGGUAGCGGUGAAAUGCGUAGAUAUAUGGAGGAACACCGGUGGCGAAAGCGGCUCUCUGGUCUGUAACUGACGCUGAGGCUCGAAAGCGUGGGGAGCAAACAGG
rnacentral:rRNA from 1 species